GAUCCUGGCUCAGGAUGAACGCUAGCGAUAGGCUUAACACAUGCAAGUCGAGGGGCAGCAUGGUCUUAGCUUGCUAAGACUGAUGGCGACCGGCGCACGGGUGCGUAACGCGUAUGCAACUUGCCUCACAGAGGGGGAUAACCCGUCGAAAGACGGACUAAUACCGCGUACACUCCAGCUUGGGCAUCCAAGGUAGAGGAAAUGAAAUUCGCUGUGAGAUAGGC
rnacentral:rRNA from 1 species